rnacentral:rRNA from 1 species
UCAAGAAACUUCCACAAUGGGCGAAAGCCUGAUGGAGCGACGUCGCGUGAUGGACGAAGUGCUUCGGCACGUAAACAUCUUUUAUGUGGGAUGAAAUUAUUGACAGUACCACAUGAAUAAGGGGCUCCUAACUCUGUGCCAGCAGGAGCGGUAAUACAGAGGCCCCAAGCGUUAUCCGGAAUCACUGGGCGUAAAGGGUGUCGAGGCGGUUGUAUUAGUCGUUCGUAAAAUCUACGAGCUUAACUUGUAGGCGGCGAACGAAACGGUACGACUUGAGGUUUGGAGAGGUGCGUGGAACUCACGGUGUAGGGGUGAAAUCCGUUGAUAUCGUGGGGAACACCAAAGGCGAAGGCAGCGCACUGGCCAAAAUCUGACGCUCACACACGAAAGCUAGGGUAGCGAAGAGGAUUAGAUACCCAGGUAGUCCCUGAGCGGGC